rnacentral:lncRNA from 1 species
CAGAAAUGGUAUCAAUCUCAAAGGUCAGGAAUUUCUUUAUACGUAUGAGUGAAUGUUUCCAUCUUUCCUAUCUGGAUUAGUAAUAUAAAUUUCCAUUUUUUUUUAAACUGGGGCUGGAACCCAGGGGCACUUUACCUGUGAGCCACAUACCCAGUUCUUUUUAUUUUUUAUUACGAGACAGGGUCUUACCCAGUUUCUGAGGCUGGCUUUGAACUUGUGAUACUCCUGCCUCAGCCUUCUGAGUCACUGGGAAAUUUUCUUUUUUAUUUCAAAAUCGACUCCAUCUUGUAAAACCAUGGAGAUUUAUGAGGCUUCAGAAUUGAUCAAUGGAUUAAGUUUGGGUGUUUUUAUUGUUGCCUUGUUUUUUCCCCAGGUUGGGGAUGAACUCAGGGCCUUGAGCAUGCUGGGUAAAUAUGAGCUACACCCUCAGCCUGGAUCAAGGUUUUUAUUUUUUUUUUAUUUAUUUUAUGUUCAAAACAUUACAUAGCUCUUGACAUCUCAUAUUUCAUACUUUAGAUUCAAGUGGGUUAUGAACUCCCAUUAUUACCCCGUAUACAGAUUGCAGAAUCACAUCGGUUACACAUCCACAUUUUUACAUAAUGCCANAUGUGAAUCUGCAAUCUGUGUAUGGGGUGAAGGUGGGAGUUCAUAACCCACUAGAAUCAAAGUGUGGAAUAUGAUAUGUCAAGAAAUUUGUAAUGUUUUGAACAACCCACAAUAAAAAAUUAAAAAAAAAAAAAAUAAAUAAAUAAAUAAAUAAAUAAAUAAAGUGCCAAAAAUUCAGUUAAAAAAAAAAAAAUAAAAUAAAAUAACAAUCAUCAUCAUCAUCACCACCACCACCAUUAUCACCAUCAUCAUCAUCAUCCAUGGUUCAUGGUGUAUUUUUAAAUUUUCUUUCUUUUAUCUUUUCUUCAAUUUUUUUUUCUUUUCUUUUAAGCUGGAGUUUGAACCCAGGGGCACUCUACGGCUAAGCUAUAUCCCCAGUCCUUUUUAUAUUUUAAGACAGGGUCUCACUAAGUUGCCCAAACUGGCCUUCAACUUGUGAGCCUCCUGCCUCAGCCUCCAGAAUCAUUGGAAUUACAGGUUUGUGCCACUGCACUUGGCAAGAUUCAUGUUUUUAGUUGAAGAACUAAAAGGAUAGCAUAACCAGGGGUGGGAUUAUAGCUCAGUGAGACCCUGACUUCCAACCCAAACACAAAACACAAAACAAAAACUGAAAAUGGUAGCAUUACCAACAACUAAAAUGGUUAAAUCAAUAGGUGCAACAGUUCUGGAGGGAAAGUCAGUUAGUUCGGACAAGUAAAAUUGCAUAUGUCUAUUAGAUGUCAAAUGGAUAUAUUGAGAUAGCUGGAUAUAAAAGUCCAGUAGUCAUUUGAAUCAAGAUAUUUAAAGCCAUUUAAUAGAGCACUUGCCAAGCAUUCACAAGACCCUGAGUUCAAUUCCCAGAACCAUAAAAAUAAUUUAAAUAAAUGAAUUAAUAAAUAAGCAAGCAAGCCAUUUGAGCCAGAUAUAGUGACACAUGCCUAUAAUCCCAGCUACUUGGGAAGUUUAGGCAGGAUUAAAAAUUCAAGGCCAGGGCUGGAGAUAUAGCUCAGUUAAUUGGUAGAGUACUUGUCUCACAUGCACAAGGCCCCAGCACUACCAAAAAAAAAAAAAAAAAAUCAUCAAGGCCACCAGGCAUGGUGGAGCACACCUGUAAUACAAACAACUCAGGAGGCUAAGGCAGGAAGCUCACGAGUUCAAAUCCAGCAUCAGCAAUUAACAAGACUGUUCCAAAAUAAAAUAUAAAAACAGGCUUGGGAUGUGGCUCAAUGGUUAAACACCCCUGGGUUCAAUCCCUAGGACUAAAUAAAUAAUAAAUAAAAAGUAUAAAUAAAAUAAAGUAGAACGCUACAAGUAUGUUGAGAAGAACAAAAUACAACCUUCAGAGAAGGUUGAGAGUAUAUGCAAUUGAAAAAGAAAACUUCCUAAAGAAAGUUGUGAUCAUUUUUUUUUAUUUUAGUUGGACACAAUGCCUUUAUUUUAUUUAUUUAUUUUUAUGUGGUGCUGAGAAUCAAACCCAGCACCUUGCAUGUACUAAGUAAACACUCUACUGCUGAGCCACAAGCCCAGCCCAAGUUGUGAUCAUUUUAAAAAGCAUAGGGAGUCAUAAACAGGGAAGAUGUGUCAGAAGGAAUAAUGGACAAAGAUUUCUUUCUAGAAAAAAAUAUUUUCUUCUAAAAGGUACAUAGAUUUUGUGGUUCUUAUGUAUUUGAUCACUAGAUUGGAGUUUGUAUUUGUGCAAAAUGGAUGCUUUUGUUUACAUAAGUGAUGAUGGGUAGACAGGGAGGGAAGCAGAUUCUCUAAGAACACAGGUUUUCCUUUGAUUUGCUGACAGGUGGUCGUCAAAGCAUCAUCAAGAUUAACUCUCAGUUAUGACCUCAAGACUCAUCUCACUAACACCCCUAAUUCAACUGUAUUCAAACUUUUCAUCACCACUGGCAGAAAUGGUAUCAAUCUCAAAGGUCAGGAAUUUCUUUAUACGUAUGAGUGAAUGUUUCCAUCUUUCCUAUCUGGAUUAGUAAUAUAAAUUUCCAUUUUUUUUUAAACUGGGGCUGGAACCCAGGGGCACUUUACCUGUGAGCCACAUACCCAGUUCUUUUUAUUUUUUAUUACGAGACAGGGUCUUACCCAGUUUCUGAGGCUGGCUUUGAACUUGUGAUACUCCUGCCUCAGCCUUCUGAGUCACUGGGAAAUUUUCUUUUUUAUUUCAAAAUCGACUCCAUCUUGUAAAACCAUGGAGAUUUAUGAGGCUUCAGAAUUGAUCAAUGGAUUAAGUUUGGGUGUUUUUAUUGUUGCCUUGUUUUUUCCCCAGGUUGGGGAUGAACUCAGGGCCUUGAGCAUGCUGGGUAAAUAUGAGCUACACCCUCAGCCUGGAUCAAGGUUUUUAUUUUUUUUUUAUUUAUUUUAUGUUCAAAACAUUACAUAGCUCUUGACAUCUCAUAUUUCAUACUUUAGAUUCAAGUGGGUUAUGAACUCCCAUUAUUACCCCGUAUACAGAUUGCAGAAUCACAUCGGUUACACAUCCACAUUUUUACAUAAUGCCAUAUUAGUAACUGUUGUAUUCUGCUACCUUUCCAUCCUCUACUAUCCCCCUGGAUCAAGGUUUUAUUUUUUUAUUUUUUAUUUUUUUUAGAGAGAGAGAGAAUUUUUUUUAUAUUUAUGUUUUAGUUUUCAGCAGACACAACAUCUUUGUUUUGUAUGUGGUGCUGAGGAUCGAACCCGGGCCGCACGCAUGCCAGGCGAGCCUGCUACCACUUGAGCCACAUCCCCAGCCCCAAGGUUUUAUAAUAUGCUUAAUUUAAGUCACAUUUGUCUUUGUAGUUUAAAAACUACAGGCUCUUAGGCUCCAUCCAGAGAUAUUUGUAUGUAUGUGUUUUACUGGGGAUCAAACCCAGAAGUGCUUUACCACUGAGCUAUAUCCUCAGCUCUUUUUAUUUUUGAGACAGGAUCUUGCUAAGUUCAGAGCAGCUACCACUGAGUUAGAUCCCAGCCUUUUAUUUUUAUUUUUUCAUUUUGAAAAGAAUCAUGCUACACUGUCCAGGCUGACCUCAAACUUGAGAUCCUCCUUCCUUAAACUUCAAGUGUCUAGAAUUACAGGUAUGUGCCACUGAGCCCAGCAUCAUCCUCAGGUUUAAUAAUAAGUUCAGGGUAAGGCCUAGGAAUCAACUAUUUUAAAGCUUCCCUGAGUUGAGAAUUGUUGAAGUAGAUUAUAUCUGGAAAAAUUUUUUUUUCUUAUUUUAUUUUUGAGACAAGUCUUGCUAAAUUUCACAGGCUGGCCUCAAAUUUAUACUGCUCCUGCCUCAGUCUCCUGAGUAGCUGGGAUUAUAGGCAUGCACCAUGAUGGCAACUCUGAAGGGUUAUUUGCUUAGUAGUUUGUCUUGUAUGUUUUUGUUUCUUUUCAUUUCCUUUCUAUUUGUGGUACUGGGAUGGCAGGGACACUCUACCACUGACCUGCAUGCUUAGCAUUUUUGAGAUGGGGUCUCCCUAAAUUGCCCAGGCUGGCCUCAAAUUUUUGAUCCUCCUACAGAAAAUCAAAAGAGAAAUUACAAAUAGGGCCACUACACCCACUUUUGCUUCGUUUUUGUUCUCUUUAGCCUAUGAUUUACUGUCAAAAAAAGGGCGAAUGGAAGAAAAUUAAAAUUAAGAACCUCCUAAUAGAUUCUGGAUCCUAUGCUAGGAAUUUUUGUAAAUUUUAUCUCAUUUAACAAUCUUAUCAUGUAGUAAUUAUUAUCCUAACUUUAAAAAUGAAAAUACUACCCAGGCAUGGUAGCACUCCCCUGUAAUCCCAGCAAUUUGGGAGGUGAGGCAGGAAGGUCACAAGUCUGAAGCCUCAGUAACUUGAUGAGACCCUAUCUCAAAACAAAAACAAAAAGGACUGGCAAACAACUCAGUGGUACAGCACCCCUGGGUUCAGUCCCCAGUACCAAAGGGGGGGGGGAGAUAAAGAUGAAAAUACUGAAUCUAAAAACAGAGUAACUUGUGCAAGUUAGCAAUUAGUCAGUGAUGGAAGUGGUAGAUAUGUCCUACCCCAAAGUCCAUGAUCAUUUUUCUUCCUUCCUUAAUAAAGAACAAAUUUCAGUGUUUGUUUUGUUUUGUUGGCCAUGAGAAAAUCCAAAAUAGAGUGAACAAAUCUAAUACAUCAUUAUUGUCUGUAAAACUUAAGACAGAGGUCUGAUGUGCAUAGCUUAGUGGUGAAGAGCACAUGCUUAGAAUGCUUGAGGCCCUGGGUUCAAUCAUCAGCACCCAAAAAAUAAAAAUAAAAUUUAAGAUAAUUUAACUAUUUGCUUUUUGUCCUUCAGUUUUACAGUCAACAUAUUUUUUACAUUAUCUAUUUAAUUUUGUUACAAAUAUAACCUAAGUUAUAUAUAAGUAAAGAAUGACAUUUUUAAGGUUUUCUCUGUUCUUUUACAGAGGAAAAAGUAUUAAAAUUUUUCUUUUUAACAGUCAUCCACUGUUGUUCAACUUAUAAUUUUAUGAACAGACUACAAUUUUUCCUCCUGAAUUACAACUAAUUUAUUGAGAAACUUAAUGUGUGGGUCCCUUUGAUGUUGUUGAUAGUUUCUGUCUGAAUGGUCACUGGACUACAGGCAAAUGAGAAAGAACUUCAGCCAACUGAAGCUACCAGGCAACUGUGCAGGGGCAAAUCUGGUUAACAGGACACCAAGUCCUACUCAUUCUGUAAGAACCCAUCCAUUGCAGGCAACUCAGUCUUAGCAUUAAUUCAUUUCUUCCUGGCUAGAUGGUUCUAGAUAAGACACCACUUGUGAUGUUCUCAUGAUUUUUGUCUUGAGUCACACUACAAGUAAUUAUGGAAAACAAACCUUCCUAGACUUAAAAGCUACCUGGAACCUUUAUUGUUAAUAGCUAUCCAAUGUCUCCACCCCUGAAUUCCAAACACCUUUGAAAAAGGAUACUAGUUUGUGUGAUAUUGAUAAUGGAAACCCCACUGUAGUCAUUCCAAACCUAGCAGAUGCUGGGAGUGGUGAUACAUGCCUGGAAUCCCAGCAACUAGAGAGGCUGAGGCAGGAGGAUCACAAGUUCAAGGCUAACCUCAGUUACUUAGCAAGGCCCUAAGGACUUAGACUUGUCUCAAAAAAAAGGGGGUGAGGGAGGGAGGCUGGGGAUAUGGCUCAAUGGUUAAGAGCUUCUGAGUUCAAUUCCUGAUACAAAAACAAAAACCUAGCAUAGAGGCUACAGAUGUAGAUCAGUGGUAGAGUACUUGCCUAUCAUGCAUGAGGCCCUAGUUCAAUCCCCAGUGCUGAAAACAGAUAAUAAAAUAAAAAUUAAAAAAAAAAAAUCCCUAGCAGGGGCAAGCAGAGCUGGACCCACUGACUUUUCUUGCUUUUUUGGUACUGGGGAUUAAACUCAGAGCACUAUACCACUGAGCUAUAUCCCUAACUCUUUCUAUUUCUAUGUUUUGAGACAGGAUCUCACUAAGUUGCUUAGAUCCUGGCUAAACUGCUGAGGCUGUCCUCAAAUUUGAGAUCCUCCUACCUCAGCCUCCUGAGUCAUCUUGAUUUUUUAAUGAUACAAAAUUGCCUCCAUAUAAUGGUUUCAUCCCUCAUUUUACAAAUUCUUGUGACUGUUAUUUAUGUCUUUUCUGCUUCUUAGGGUCCUGUACUCCAAAUCAGGCCUUGGCCAUUACAAAAGUACUUCUUCCAGAGACUCUCAUGCUGUGCCAUGUACAAUUCAGUAAUACUUUACUAGACAUUCCAGCAAGUAAAGUCUUUCAUGUCCAUUCAGACUUCAACAUGGAGAAAGGUAAGGUCUACCAGUUGAAUAGUUUCCCCCUUCUGUUUUCCUAUUUGUAUAAAUGUCACUUUCUUAUUGGAUUGUAUUUAUGCUUUCAGUUUUAUCUGAAAUAUCACUGUAGAAUCUUUCUCAUGAACAUUUUCAUU